rnacentral:lncRNA from 1 species
UCCAGGGCUCCCUGAGGGAGGCCAGCACAAGAGCUCUGCCAUAAAAGGACAUUGGACAGAAGUGAAGAGUCCAAUCAGAAACUCUUUUUGAGAGACUGAACGCAAAGCAUUCAGAGAGUCAGCAGGCUGGAGAGGCCAAGACACACACACGAAGAAGGCAGGACACUCUUCUCCUCCUGCGGUUGGACUCCAGGCUCUAUGACCUUCAAACUCCAGGACUUACACCAGUUGCCCCUGGGCACUCAGGACUUCUGCUUCAGACUGACAGUUGCAGGACAGUGCAGCAUUUUAUUUUAAAGAUACCCCACAACGUAGGUGGCCAGUCCUGCUGCAGAUUGAGAGCUGUACUAGCCUGGCAUGCAGACAGCAGCUUUAGAAUCAGAUCUGCCUUCUGGCGGCUUCCCACCUAGGAGCCAUGGGACCUUUGUGAAGUCACCAAUUGUGCUGUGGAUGCUUCAUUUGUGAAGGAGAACAGGACUGCCUUGUGAAAUUACGGAUGGUGCUACUAAAACAUAUCAAUAAUUUGAAUUUCACUUUUGUGGAUGCUUUAAACAUCAUAGUCAUUAGAAGGUGGAUCUGGCUGAUUGUACUUUAAGUUUUCAGUUUGAGCUGGAGCUUUGUAUUAUAACAGGAGGGUACUGGACAAGAUGAGGAAACUGAGGUACAGAUGGGAAACUUGCUCAAGUUCACACAGCAAUUAAGUGAUCAAGUCCAAGAGCAAAACCAGGCAGGCUGGCUCCAGAGCUCACGAUAGUCCACCACUGCUUUCCACCAUCACUACGGAAUCAAGUCCAUGAGGAUACUCACCUUAUGUCAGUUGCCUAAGUUGGAAAUUAUAGAAUCUUCAAAUUGGAAGGGACGUUAUCAUCCAAGAUUUCAACUUUCUACUCACUGCAAAAUCCCUUCUGGAACUUCCCAGAUUGAUGAAUUUUCAUCAGCUCUGCUUGAGUACUCCCAGUGACUUGGAAAAAAAACACUGUAAUAUGGAUAUGAAAUAUAAACUGUUCAUGGAUAAAUUAUUGCAUAAUAAAAACAUGCCUAAUGGCUACACUCCCC